rnacentral:rRNA from 1 species
GGAUUAGAUACCCUGGUAGUCCACACCGUAAACGCUGUCUACUAGCUGUGUGUGUCUUUAAGACGUGCGUAGCGAAGCUAACGCGCUAAGUAGACCGCCUGGGGAGUACGGCCGCAAGGUUAAAACUCAAAUGAAUUGACGGGGGCCCGCACAAGCGGUGGAGCAUGUGGUUUAAUUCGAUGCAACGCGAAGAACCUUACCAGGUCUUGACAUCCUGAGAACUUUCUAGAGAUAGAUUGGUGCCUUCGGGAACUCAGAGACAGGUGCUGCAUGGCUGUCGUCAGCUCGUGUCG